rnacentral:lncRNA from 1 species
GGUGGUGUGUGGAGAUGAGAGGUGGCAACAGCAGGAAUUCAGAAGCAGCUUGGGCAGCAGCAGGAGUGUCACAAACGGACAGACAGACAGACAGACAGAAGACCAUGAUAUCCAGGCUGGAUGAAAGCAUGCUGUGAAAGGACUGACCAUGCCAAGCACAGGAGAGCAGAAAUCCAGGGAAAGGAGCAAAUGGAAUCCACUGGUGCAGGGGAAGAUGGAGAAAGUGUGGGAUCAAGGUAGCAGCAAGGCUGAGGGCUAAAAGGAGAAGAACAGUGCUGAAGUCAGAAGGCCCAGUUUCCCUUAAAAAGCUUGGUGAAAAGAUUCCUUAAAUCUGUAGCAGCCCAGGAAUGAUGAAAUAUUUAUGAGUCAUUAAUAUAUAAUUCAUCAAUUUAUGAACUACCCUUUCCCAUAUUAUUAACAUUAUCAUUUCUUCUUUUUAAGAAGAAACUGUGGACAGCAAACUGCUAAGCCUCACAUUGUUCAGUCUUCUGAUUUUCCUUGGAAGUUUGUUGAUAUGUGCGUGUAGAAGGUAUAGAUUCCUGGAAGUUAUAACCAUGCCAUUUCCAGGUCCUACAGAUAAAGUUACAACUUGGUUAGCUACAGAUGAGACUCACCACCAGAAACAAAAUUCAGUGCAAAUGGAGAUGCAGUCAGAGAUCAUACUGAAAAUAUCAGAAGAUAAUGGAGAUGAGGACAUUCAACAACAUACAUAUUUGAAAGAAUCUGAAGACCUGUAGGAGAGUUAUGCUUUUUUAAAAUUUUUUAUCUUCAUGUAAGAGCUAACUUUUUGUUAACUGGAUUCUCACUGAUCCAAGAAAGGCUGAUACUGGAGUUUGUCUGAUCCAAAUGGUUUGAAAUGUUUUGAGUUGUGACAUUGUGCAACUCUUUAAAUGCACUUUGGAUCAAAGAGGUAAAGUAUACUGCAGUCUUUCUCUAACUACUGCUAAUGUACAGCCCAGUAAAAGUAUAGCAGGUCAGACAAUAUGACUGAAUAACUGAAUCCACUUGGGUCAAGAAGGAGCUGGAGUUAGUGCUGCAUUAGCUUCCAAAUAACGUCCAAUAGAUCAAUAACUUUAAGAAUGGCUCUUCGUACAAAUUCCACAGUACCUAUUCAAUAUCUGAUUAAAGAAAUAAGAAGCAAUGGAAAAAACAAUCAUUUCUGGAAGUUGCAGCAGAAGCUCACUAUGAUUCUCUAGAGCUUCAAAAAAUAUCAUACAUUGUGUAUGUAGAUAUUAACAAGAACAAGUUACAU